rnacentral:lncRNA from 1 species
GCACACGGGCAGCUCCGUAAGCUUCAGGCCCACGCCGCGCAGGCGCGCUCCUGUUCGCUCGGCUGCGUGGGAGCGGAAUCCGGGAGCCCAGCCUGGACUUGAGGCAGGUCGGGAAGAUGCUGGGCACCAGCACUGCCUGCAGGGACAGAAGAAAAACUCUCUGAAGGAUUGUGCGGCAGUGGCUCGGCCCCGCGAGGUCACACACUCACUGAUUUGUGAGCAAAACGGAGACCAGUGUCUACUUUACGGUAACGACCCUCCCAGCAGGCCGCACCUUGACCUUCUGGACGUGGUGUCCCACAGUUUCGUUCACAAGGCAUUGGUGGAGCGCCGUGCCACUCUGGCAGCCAAGGAGCAUAAGCCACGGCUCAAGGCCCAGAGGUAGGACCAGCGGGACCAAACUGCAGGGUGCAAGGGGCAGCAGCGAGAGGCCCAGAAGAGGAAGAGCCUGGUGGACAUGAAGAGGGCACGGGCAGAGGCGAGGCCAACAGGGACAGUGAUGCUGAGGACCCUCGACUAACUGCGAACCGUGCUGUAACAGAAAAUGCUCCACUCCUGUUCACAUCGUUUUCAUGGCCAAUGUUUUUGGAAGUGGAUAGUCAGGUCCUUCUCAGUCUGUUUUUGUCUGGAAGCUCCACUGAAACUUGUCUACCAUGGGUGACCUGCUGAUGUUUGAAAUCCUGGAGGCAUGGCUUUCAGCAACAUGCAGCUGCCACAGUAUGACAACCGACAGGUGACUUCGUGCUGGACUUGCACUGAAGUUUUGGGUAACUACAGGUCCUUGAAGUUUAUCAUAAGGAAACAGAUGUCCGGAGACUAUCAAGAAACUGAAGCCUCCCGAGCCCCAAUCUUCAGCUUCCUGUUGCCAGAACCCACCAUCCAACGUGGAGGCAGACAACCAGGGAUACCGACCUGCAGAUUCCCUUAUCUCACCAUCUCCCUCCAUGCAAGCAGCCUCACAAAGCCAAAUGCAGGCUGAUGGGAAGGCGCCAGCCAGCAAGGCCGCAUGCUCCCCUUCCCUUACCUGAAACUGAAACUGAGGACAGAGGAGUUAAAAUUUCCCUGGAUUAGGAUGAAACUGAGACCAUACCCGCAAGGUUAAUGUGGGAAACAAAGUAACCAAAGUUUCUGAGCUCACCUUGCAGAACAGCAAGAGGACCACUGAUAAGAGAAUAGCUUGCUGACAGCCCUCUGCCUGACUAAGCAUCAUGCAGGAGCAUUGAGAAGCUAAAAUGAGCAAUUUUAAGCUUCACACAUCAUAAGAAAUAUGAAAAAAGUCACCCCUGCACAGUGGACUCUUAGAAUUUUAGACCCCAAGGCCACAUGCCCCCCUCCCCAACUUAUUCUCACAAUGUGCUUUGGAAAAAUGCUU